rnacentral:rRNA from 1 species
CCUACGGGAGGCAGCAGUGAGGAAUAUUGGUCAAUGGCCGGAAGGCUGAACCAGCCAUGCCGCGUGAAGGUCAGUGCCCCAUGGGCGUUAAACUUCUUUUGUGCGGGAGCAAUAAUGGUCACGUGUGGCCAGACGAGAGUACCGUACGAAUAAGCAUCGGCUAACUCCGUGCCAGCAGCCGCGGUAAUACGGGGGAUGCAAGCAUUAUCCGGGUUUUUUGGGGUUUAAGGGUGCGUAGGCUGUGAGGUAAGUCAGCGGUGAAAUGCCUCCGCUCAACGGGGUGAAGUGCCAUUGAUACUGCCUUGCUGGAAUGCGGAUGCCGUGGGAGGAAUGUGUGGUGUAGCGGUGAAAUGCAUAGAUAUCACACAGAACACCGAUUGCGAAGGCAUCUCACGAAUCCGCGAUUGACGCUGAUGCACGAAAGCGUGGGUAUCAAACAGGAUUAGAUACCCGGGUAGUC